UUUAAGGUCUAACCUGCCCACUGAUUAAUUUAACGGCCGCAGUAUUUUGACUGUGCAAAGGUAGCAUAAUAAUUAGUUUUUUAAUUGAAAACUGGAAUGAAUGGUUGGACGAGAAAGAAGCUGUCUCCAUAUAAUUUAAUUAGAAUUUUAUUUUUAAGUCAAAAAGCUUAAAUGAUUUUAAAAGACGAGAAGACCCUAUAGAGUUUUAUAUUACUUUUAAAUUAAAAAAUUUUAGAAUCUUAUUGUUUUAAUUUAACUUAAUAUUUUGUUGGGGUGACAGGAAGAUUGAAUGAGCUUUUCUUAUAUUUAACCAUUAAUAUAUGAAUAUAUGAUCCAUAUUUUAUGAUUAGAAGAUUAAAUUACCUUAGGGAUAACAGCGUAAUUUUUUUUAAGAGUCUAUCGAAAU
rnacentral:rRNA from 1 species